rnacentral:rRNA from 1 species
CCUACGGGUGGCAGCAGUGGGGAAUUUUGCGCAAUGGGGGAAACCCUGACGCAGCAACGCCGCGUGCGGGACGAAGGCCCUCGGGCUGUAAACCGCUUUCAGCAGGGAAGACGUCGACGGUACCUGCAGAAGAAGCUCCGGCUAACUACGUGCCAGCAGCCGCGGUAAUACGGAGGGUGCGAGCGUUAAUCGGAAUUACUGGGCGUAAAGCGCUCGUAGGCGGUAUGUCAAGUCAAGGGUGAAAUCCCCGCGCUCAACGUGGGAACUGCCUUUGAAACUGACAAACUGGAGUGUGUGAGAGGAUAGUGGAAUUCCAGGUGUAGGAGUGAAAUCCGUAGAUAUCUGGAGGAACAUCAGUGGCGAAGGCGACUAUCUGGCACAUAACUGACGCUGAGGAGCGAAAGCGUGGGUAGCAAACAGGAUUAGAUACCCGUGUAGUC